rnacentral:rRNA from 1 species
UUGCCAUAGUACUCUUGAGGUGGAAUGCUUACACUUUCGUUUAUACAUUAAAUAUAUAUAUCUAAUGUAUGACAUUCAUCAUUGUCUGCUUGGACUAUUAGGGUAUCUAAUCCUGUUUGCUACCCAAGCCUUCGUCUCUCAACGUCAGUUAUUACAUAGAAGGACGCCUUCGCCGUUGACAGUCCUCCUGGUAUCAUCAAAUUUUAUCUCUACUCCAGAAAUUCUUCCUUCUCUCAUAUAACUCUAGUAAAAAAGUACUCGUUUAGAGUUUAAUUUAUCC